rnacentral:rRNA from 1 species
GAUGAACGCUAGCGAUAGGCCUAACACAUGCAAGUCGAGGGGCAGCAUAGAGUAGCAAUACUUUGAUGGCGACCGGCGCACGGGUGAGUAACACGUAUGCAACCUACCUACAUCAGGGGAAUAACCCGGAGAAAUUCGGACUAAUACCGCAUAAUACAGGGAUGCCGCAUGGCAAUAUUUGUUAAAGAUUUAUCGGAUGUAGAUGGGCAUGCGUUCCAUUAGCUAGUUGGUAAGGUAACGGCUUACCAAGGCAACGAUGGAUAGGGGAACUGAGAGGUUUGUCCCCCACACUGGAACUGAGACACGGACCAGACUCCUACGGGAGGCAGCAGUGAGGAAUAUUGGUCAAUGGACGAGAGUCUGAACCAGCCAAAUCGCGUGAAGGAAGACUGCCCUACGGGUUGUAAACUUCUUUUGUACAGGAAUAAAAGACAUUACGUGUAAUGUAUUGCAUGUACUGUACGAAUAAGCAUCGGCUAACUCCGUGCCAGCCGCCGCGGUAA